CUGUAAGCCUGUGAAGGUGUGUCGUGAGGCAUGCUGGAGGUAUCAGAAGUGCGAAUGCUGACAUAAGUAACGAUAAAGCGGGUGAAAAGCCCGCUCGCCGGAAGACCAAGGGUUCCUGUCCAACGUUAAUCGGGGCAGGGUGAGUCGACCCCUAAGGCGAGGCCGAAAGGCGUAGUCGAUGGGAAACGGGUUAAUAUUCCCGUACUUGGUGUUACUGCGAAGGGGGGACGGAGAAGGCUAUGUUGGCCGGGCGACGGUUGUCCCGGUUUAAGCGUGUAGGUGUGUGUUCCAGGUAAAUCCGGUUCACUUUAACACUGAGGCGUGACGACGAGGCACUACGGUGCUGAAGCAACAAAUGCCCUGCUUCCAGGAAAAGCCUCUAAGCAUCAGGUAACAUCAAAUCGUACCCCAAACCGACACAGGUGGUCAGGUAGAGAAUACCAAGGCGCUUGAGAGAACUCGGGUGAAGGAACUAGGCAAAAUGGUGCCGUAACUUCGGGAGAAGGCACGCUGACAC
rnacentral:rRNA from 1 species